CUUGUACUGAGUCAUUCUGAGGGAUUAAAUAAUGUUUGGAUGUGAUUUGUAGUUGCUUGUAUACUUCAACAGAAAAAAAUGACUUGUAACUUUUACUUUUAGAAUUGAAGUUAGAAAUAUCCUUUAAAGUUCAUCUGGACCUGCUCAGAGUUCUAAAGCAGUGACAAGAUGGUCUUGUACCAGUGAAGAUCUGUACCAGUGGCAAUAGCCUGUUUCCUCCCAAAAUCCUUCAGUAUAAGACUGUAAAGAGCAUUAGUAGAAAGAAGAAUACCUAAUUUCUACUCGCUGAUGUAAUCUUCAUCUUCAUGUGAAGAGCACAAAGAUGACUUCGUGUUGCCACAAGAGUGUUCCCAUCACAUCUCUCAAGGGAUGAUAAAGUCAUUGAAAGGCCUUGUUCCUGCUCCUGCUCGAAGCAUGAGAAGAAAGCAAACAGCAAUUUACCGUUCUUCUUGUUCUUCUACCUAUUAGAAGGUAAUGAGUUUUUUAUAAAAUUGGUUUUUGCUUGCUAACUUUCUACCUAAAUGCCAUGUAUGUUUUUAAUCUCUUCAUAGCAAGGCUCAUAUAAUUGUAUAUUCAGUAGGAUAAAAAAAAAAUGAAUGCUUUUGAUGGACUUCUAAGGACAUCAACUCAGGGAUAUUAUUGAUGUUUUCAGCGUUCCUUGCCAUAUCCCUGAUUCCUUUGUACCUUGUA
rnacentral:lncRNA from 1 species